UCGACAUGCAGGCAACGGCUCUCCUAAUUUGAAAUUCACCUGUCGUCUUUCAUCCAGCGAAUUCAUCCUCGCACAACACUGAGAUGAAGGCGAAGUCACCAUGAAAAGUUAAACGUUUACCGUUAAGCUACAGUAAUUGAUGUUGAAAAACUGAUGCAACCAAUCACUCCUCACUUGAUUAUUCAAGCCCAGAUUGUGAUGGACCUGGAAUGCGAAACCAGUUACUCUUAAGACAAGAACCGAAUAAAGCACAGAUGUGGAGGGAUUUGCAGCCAAACUAACUGGAGGGAAGGAACCUUUAGUGUGGGUGAACAUACUACCUGGAUGUCCAACAAAGGCUGCACAAGAGCUCAUUUGAUAGCACACAUUCUGUCCUGUCUACAUCUCUGAUGACCUGGAAGUGCUUCGACAUCAGAUCAUCAGAAGUGCUGCUGCCCUUUUUCACUGUCCCUUUCCACAUCAUUUGGCCUUCAUCAUUUCCUGUCUUGUAGCAGUAUUUUCACCUGUUUUUAAAAUUGUAAUAAUUUUUGAUGCAUUAAUUGUUGACUGGUUUUAAUGAUCAAUUGUUUAUUAGUGUUCUGUUGCUCUGUUAUAUUGAAUUAUUGCUACUGUUUUAGCAUGGUUUACACAAUAAACCUUUAUU
ensembl:processed_transcript